CGCAUUUCUUCUCCUCCUUUUUCUUCUUCUUCUUCUUCUUCUUCUUCUUUCGUCCAAGAUUGAGCAGUGAUAUCAGCAGACAAAUAGGAUAGCUGGAUCCAAACAGCACUCAUCAAUAAGAAAGCAGCAGCAUAGGGCAGCAACGGGACACUCUAGUGAGUGGAGAAAUCAUAACAAAAACCAUAGUAUGUGAUCUCCAUUUCACCGAAGAAAUACAAGUGUGCAAAGUUCAGACAUGCUGUAACAAGGGACUACUACUUUGAAAUGUAUUAUGAUGAUAUGCCUCUAUGGGGAUUCUUGGGCAAGACUUGGAGGGACAAGACUGAUUCGGGCAAAGACAAUCACUUGUUCUUUAAACGCAUCCAUUUCAAUAUUCUUUACAAUGAUGAUAGGGUCAUAUAGAUCAAUGUCCAAACAGACUACAACAUUAUUGUGGAUAUCUCGGAGGAUAAGGAAUUGGAUGUAGAGUUUUUAUAUUCUGUUACAUGGAAAAAGACUGACAUAUCUUUUGAAAAAAGGACAUUGACCAUCUGCUUUCUGCUUGAUUGCCUGAUAGCUUAUUGGAGUCACGAAGAUGGAGAUAUCUGCGCUGGUGUUGGCUUGUGGUUUGAGGGUCGGAACUGAUGGAACCAAUCUUAAGUACAAGAUUUGAUCUUGUUUGGGCUAUCCAUUAGCAUUGCAUUUGGUGUAGUACUUCACGGUUCUAUGUCUUGGGGACUUCGUGUGUGGUUUGCUAUGUCAAUUUCUCGUUCUGCUUUGACAUAAACACUUUCAAGCUUGAAAUUUUGAUUACAGCUUCACCGCAGAUACUUCAAGUGUGUUCAAAGGCAGCAAAUACUUCAAGAUCGAGCAGUGAUAUCAGCCGAGAAAUAGGAUGGCUGGAUCCAAGCAGCACUCAUCAGUAAGAAAGCAGCAGCAUAGGGCAGCAAGGCUGCAAAACAAAACAUUCUAGUUAGUGGAGAAAUCAGCACAAAAACCAUAAGUCUAAGAACCGGUGCCGGCCUUUAGAUCCACGCGCGAGCCGUCCGCAAAGAAGUAUCCCUCCUGCCGAUCGCUGCCAAGAAGAUUCCACGGCUCGCUCGGUCUUGUAGACGUCAGCGAAGGCGACAGCGUGGACAGGGAAGGGUGUGCUGAUGACCUAGUUGGCGAGGAGAAGGGAGCGCAGAGAAGCGAGGGGCGAGAAGACAAAGUGCCUUCAUCUUCUUUGAACCCCAUCGCCCCGUUCGGUCUUGCUCGACUCAGAAACAAAGAUGGAGGUAUCUGCGCUGGUGUUGCCUUGUGGCGUGAGGGUGGGAGCUGAUGGAAGGUACAAGAUUUGGUGUUGUAUUGGCAAUCCGUUGGCAUUGCAUUCGGCAGCAUGCUUCCGAGGCCAAGUGCUUCACAGUGUUCUCUUCACCAGAGGGUUGGAGCUGAUGGAACCAAUAAUAAAGGUGCUUCACAGUGCCAUCAAGGUCAGACCUUUCCACAACGCCAAGUGAUUUCUUUUCGAUUCUUACCACACCACCACUUUGGUCUGUUCUAUGUAGAGGCUCCACCGGCAUAUUCAUCUUCUUCUACUGCAUAUGCUACUAUCACGUGAGAUCAGACAUGUCAGGCUUCAUGCAAACAUCAUUCUUUUUUAGUUAUAUGACUUGCAUUUGCUAUGGAUUCUUCCUUAUGCUGGGGACUGUCGGUCUGUGCCUAUAUGCUGUUCGUGUGGCACAUAUAUUGGGACAUCGAAUCUUCACAGCAGAUACUUCAAGUGUGUUUAAAGACAGCAAAUACUUCAAGAUGGAGCAGAGUGAUAUCAGCAGAGAAAUAGGAUGGCUGGAUCCAAGCAGCACUCAUCAACAAGAAAUCAGCAGCAGAAUAGGGCGGCAAGGCUGCGAAACAAAACAUUCUAGUUAGUGGAGAAGUCAUCAAAAAACCGUAUGAGAAAGGACAUUGAUCAUCUGCUUUCUGCUUGAUUACCUGAUAGCAUAUUGGACUAACGAAGAUGGAGAUAUCUGCACUGGUGUUGGCUUGUGGUUUGAGGGUCGGAGCUGACGGAACCUAUCAUAAGUGCAAGAUUUAAUCUUGUAUGGGCUAUCCAUUGGCAUUGCAUUUCGUGAAGUGCUUCACGGUUCUGUCUUCGGGACUUUGUGUGGUUUGCCAUGUCAAUUUCUCGUUCUGCUUUGACAUGUUUGAAGUCUGCCUCUUUCUUUGACUACAAUAUUUUUUAUUCAUCUUCUUGAAUUUUUUAGCAAUUUUAGUUACAUUGGUCUUUCUUGGAUGCAGAAACACUUUCAAGCGUGAAAUUUUGAUUGCAGCUUCCGAGCAGAUACUUCAAGUGUGUUCAAAGGCAGCAAAUACUUCAAGAUCAAGCACUGAUAUCUGCCGACAAAUAGGAUGGCUGGAUCCAAGCAGCACUCAUCAGUAAGAAACCAGCAGCAAGGGCAGCAAGGCUGCAAAACAAAGCUUUCUAAGUGGAGAAAUCAUCACAAAAACCAUAACAUACAUAGGGAGGCUACUGCCACUACAAGCACCACAUUCACGACCAACUGUUGCUGUUGGAUUAGACACAGGAAACCUAAUUGCUGGAGGUGCCCAUGGGGAAGAUGUCUAAUGGUGCAGUGCUCCAAGGGAUGUGCAUACCUGUGCAACUGAUGUUGUAGAGAUUGGCAUUGAUGGUGGCCUCCUAUGUACAGACUUGCUCUAACUUCCAAACCUAUCUAUUGUAUCGAAAUGUCAACAGGGACAAUCGAGCUAUCGUUUGCUUGAGCAUCGAGAGAAUAGAUUCUAGUUUUUUUAACUGAAACUACACUGAUGAUCUCCAUGCUGUAGAAAUCUCAAUUUGGUGGGGUUGUAUAGUUAUUGCCCAUUUGACAGUGGUGAGUAGAUGUUGCUAAAUAUAUGAUCAGUGAGUGUGCUAGCAUUAGUGGUGUGUAGAUGUUGCUAAAUAUACGAUCAGUGAGUGAAUUAGCAGUGUCAAGGUUUGUGUGUACCACAGGAAUUAGCACUGUAAAUGCAGUAGUUGCAUCUCAUUUCUAUUCUUUUGCUCUUUGGUUGAUCAUUCAUGGUUUAAGUCAAAUGAAUGAGCAAUCAAUUACACUAAUGAAAACUAGUUA